GCCUGGGUGGCUCAGUGGGUUGAGCGCCUGACUUCAGCUCAGGUCAUGAUCUCUCAGUUUGUGAGUUUCAAGCCCUGCACUGGGCU
rnacentral:tRNA from 1 species